GUAAAUAAAUUUAUUUGAGUAGUAUUAGUUAUAUUCUUGAAACUAAAAAAAUUUGGCGGUAUUUUAGUCUAUUCAGAGGAACUUGUUUUUUAAUCGAUAAUCCACGAUGUACCUUACUUAAAAUUGUUAAUCAAUCUAUAUAUCGUUGUUAUUAGAAUAUUUUAUAAGAAUAAUAAUUUUCUAUAAUUUUUAUAAAAAUUAAUAUCAAAUCAAGGUGUAGUUUAUUUUUAAGAAUAAAUGAGUUACAAUAAAAAUUAUUUUUGAAUUUAAAUAUGAAAAAUUUAAUGAAAUUGGAUUUGAUAGUAAAAUUAUAAAGAUAAAUAAUUUGAUUUUAGCUCUAAAAUAUGU
rnacentral:rRNA from 1 species